AUUAUGAAAAUAGAAACGUUAUAGUGAGGUCCACGUUAUAAUGGCAGUGGAGGAAAGUAGGAGAACAACGUUGCCAAUUAUCUGCCUUGCCACUGCCUUCUGAAGAGGAUAGCUUGGUCAAUUUUACCACCAACUUUGGUCAAUAUCUAUUGUUAGUUCCUAAAGGCUCUGAAAAUUGAUGAAAUGGAACAAAUUAUUUGGACAAGACACUAGAAAAAUUCUACUCGGUCGGUUUUGAAAUCAUACCUCAAGAAACUUGCGAGAUCUUCGUCUGCACUGCACUAGCAUUUCAGUGACUCAAUGUGGAUUGUGAAGACACAGAAGGGGACGCAUUUGGAUCUUGAAUCAUGAAUGUUGAAUCUUGAUGCUCACAGAAAAGGAAGUCAACCAGACAGGAUUGAGACCACAAUAGGAGGCAUAAAGUCCCUUGAUAAUUUUGAAAACAGAGACGUUAUAGUGAGGUCCACGUUAUAAUGGCAGUGGAGGAAAGUAGGAGAACAACGUUGCCAAUUAUCUGCCUUGCCACUGCCUUCUGAAGAGGAUAGCUUGGU